rnacentral:rRNA from 1 species
GGAAUCUUCCACAAUGGACGAUAGUCUGAUGGAGCAACGCCGCGUGAGUGAAGAAGGGUUUCGGCUCGUAAAACUCUGUUGUUAAAGAAGAACAUAUCUGAGAGUAACUGUUCAGGUAUUGACGGUAUUUAACCAGAAAGCCACGGCUAACUACGUGCCCG